CAAACCCCUAUCUAGUUAGUGUGCUUCUUAGAAUACAAAUAGAAUUACAAAAUGUUUCAGUAAUCAAAAAGGGACAGCAUCGGCAAACAGUUGACAUCAAAAUUGUCUGCUCAUCAAAGAGGAAUGACAGAUCCUCCUUCAUCAACAUGUUUUCCUUAGGAAUGGUGCCAGGAUGCAGGGCAUAAGUGAGAGGACAGUUCCCUUGGUUAUGAGGUAACUAAAAAUAGCCACCUUUGAAAGCCAUCAGAGGUCACUUGUUUUGAAGAAAAUCAUCAGAAGAACUUUGAACUAUAAGAUAUUGACUAUUAAAUCAUGUUAUUUUCUUCAUUUGUCAAAGUUAUUGGGAUGUAGCAAAUACUUGAGACUUUGAAUUGAGUAGAUUUUGAGUAGAUUUAUGAAUGAAAUCAAAGGACACACAAAAACAGUGUAAUUCACCCAUCUGGAGACUCCACGUAUGAGUUUGAAAACUUUUAGUAUGUAUGCCAAUUAGUCCAUCCAGCCAAAUAGGCACAACAAUUUUCCGAUAAUAAGAAAAAUAAGACCAAGAAGCUAGCUGGAAUACUAAGAAAAACAACAGAGGGAGUUAAAUUCUUCAUUAAAAUUGACCACUUCUAGAGGCCUUGCAGGAAAUAUUAAAAUAAGUUCUUCAAUGAGAAUGAAAAUGAUAUAGGUCAGAAACUUGGAUCUGCAUGAAGAUACACCUUAAAAAAGGAAGAGCAUCAGAAAAAUGAAUAAGUGAAGGUCAAGUGCUGUGCUGUACUGAUUGAUAGAUUGUCUCCAGCAGGAAGUUUGACAAUGGACAACCUAGAAGCAGAUGUGCCUGAUAAAUGUAAAUGGUAGCUUCUUUGUGGCCCUUCCACCAGAAGUGAAGAAGCCUGGUGCAGAGCUUCUACUUGACCUAUGAUAGAUAUGCUGCUGGAGAAGAAAUCAACCUCCUGGUUCCCACCCAUAUCUUGCUCUGGUUAGUCACAAUCAGAAUCUUCACAACCACAAUCAGAAUCUUCCCACAGCCCUACCUGCAACACCUGCUUGUCUCUGCCAUUACAA
rnacentral:lncRNA from 1 species